rnacentral:tRNA from 1 species
GCCAACUUAGCGCAAUAGGUAGAGCAACUGAUUUGUAAUCAGUAGGUUACGGGUUCAAUUCCUGUAGUUGGCACCA